rnacentral:rRNA from 1 species
UACGGAGGGGGCUAGCGUUGUUCGGAAUUACUGGGCGUAAAGCGCACGUAGGCGGCUUUGUAAGUUAGAGGUGAAAGCCCGGAGCUCAACUCCGGAAUUGCCUUUAAGACUGCAUCGCUAGAAUCAUGGAGAGGUGAGUGGAAUUCCGAGUGUAGAGGUGAAAUUCGUAGAUAUUCGGAAGAACACCAGUGGCGAAGGCGACUCACUGGACAUGUAUUGACGCUGAGGUGCGAAAGCGUGGGGAGCAAACAGG